rnacentral:misc_RNA from 1 species
AAGUCGUAACAAGGUUUCCGUAGGUGAACCUGCGGAAGGAUCAUUAUUGAAUACUGAAUCGGUUCUGAUGCUGGCUCUUCACUGGGCAUGUGCUCGUCCGUUCAUAUUUACCUUCUCUUGUGCACAUUUUGUAGUCCUUUGGAACAAGUGAAUUUCGCGCUGCUGUGAUUAACUUCGCGGUGGUUGCGGUUUGGGGGAUUGGGUGUAACAGCCCUUCCUCUGUUUAUGCGCGUUGCUGCGAUUUACUUCGUGGUGACUGCGGUUCGGGGGUUGAGCAUCAGCACUUCCCCUUGCCUUUGCUUUUUUCCAAGGCUAUGUUUUCAUAUACCCUAUACAAUGUUACAGAAUGUCUUUAACGAUUGUGCUUGGUCGCAGUCAUUAAACCUAUACAACUUUCAGCAACGGAUCUCUUGGCUCUC